AUUGAACGCUGGCGGCAUGCCUUACACAUGCAAGUCGAACGGCAGCACGGGUGCUUGCACCUGGUGGCGAGUGGCGAACGGGUGAGUAAUACAUCGGAACAUGUCCUGUAGUGGGGGAUAGCCCGGCGAAAGCCGGAGUAAUACCGCAUACGAUCUACGGACGAAAGCGGGGGACCUUCGGGCCUCGCGCUAUAGGGUUGGCCGAUGGCUGAUUAGCUAGUUGGUGGGGUAAAGGCCUACCAAGGCGACGAUCAGUAGCUGGUCUGAGAGGACGACCAGCCACACUGGGACUGAGACACGGCCCAGACUCCUACGGGAGGCAGCAGUGGGGAAUUUUGGACAAUGGGCGAAAGCCUGAUCCAGCAAUGCCGCGUGUGUGAAGAAGGCCUUCGGGUUGUAAAGCACUUUUGUCCGGAAAGAAAUCCUUGGCCCUAAUACGGUCGGGGGAUGACGGUACCGGAAGAAUAAGCACCGGCUAACUACGUG
rnacentral:rRNA from 1 species